rnacentral:rRNA from 1 species
GUGGGGAAUAUUGGACAAUGGGGGGAACCCUGAUCCAGCCAUGCCGCGUGUGUGAAGAAGGCCUUUUGGUUGUAAAGCACUUUAAGCGAGGAGGAGGCUCUUCUAGUUAAUACCUAGGAUGAGUGGACGUUACUCGCAGAAUAAGCACCGGCUAACUCUGUGCCAGCAGCCGCGGUAAUACAGAGGGUGCGAGCGUUAAUCGGAUUUACUGGGCGUAAAGCGUACGUAGGCGGCUUUUUAAGUCGGAUGUGAAAUCCCCGAGCUUAACUUGGGAAUUGCAUUCGAUACUGGUUGGCUAGAGUAUGGGAGAGGAUGGUAGAAUUCCCGGUGUAGCGGUGAAAUGCGUAGAGAUCUGGAGGAAUACCGAUGGCGAAGGCAGCCAUCUGGCCUAAUACUGACACUGAGGUGCGAAAGCAUGGGGAGCAAACAGGAUUAGAAACCCCGGUAGUCC